rnacentral:rRNA from 1 species
UGAGGAAUUUUGCGCAAUGGGAGCAACCCUGACGCAGCAACGCCGCGUGGGCGAUGAAGGCCUUCGGGUCGUAAAGCCCUGUCAGGUGGGAAGAAUGUCCCGGUACUGAACAGGUUCCGGGAGUGACGGUACCACCAGAGGAAGCACCGGCUAACUCCGUGCCAGCAGCCGCGGUAAUACGGAGGGUGCAAGCGUUAUUCGGAAUUACUGGGCAUAAAGCGCGUGUAGGCGGUCCUGCAAGUCUGAUGUUAAAGCCCCGGGCUUAACCCGGGAAGUGCAUUGGAAACUGUGGGACUUGAGUACUGGAGAGGAUGGGGGAAUUCCCGGUGUAGAGGUGAAAUUCGUAGAGAUCGGGAGGAAUAUCAGUGGCGCAGGCGCCCAUCUGGACUGUAACUGACGCUGAGACGCGAAAUCGUGGGGAGCAAACA